AUGAAAGAAGCAACGUUUGAAAUUCUCUCAUUGCAAAAGAAAAUAACUUCAUCAAGAAAUUUCAAGGGCAAUUACAUCAAACAAAGUAACAAACUUGAAAUACAAAGAAAAAAGCUACUUCUCUUUGUUUUUAUGACGUUUAUGGUAUCUCUCUCUCUCUCGCACCUUUGACACGUUUAUCUUUGCUUAAUUAUGUUAGUAAAAUCUUACUCCGUCAUCCCCACCAUUGAUGCACCGCAACACCUUCAUCCCUUAGCUUCCCAUACAAAGCCAAGCAUUCCCAAUAAGCCCUUUUGCUCGUGUUCUUUCUUCCACCAUGUCCUUGAGGCUUGCAUUCCAAGAAUAGUUCAUCAACCAACCUGAUAGCCUUGCUCUUUACCAGAUCUUCAACCACUUCAGCCUCUGCCUUCAUCACCACAUAAUCAGCCACAUUCACAUUCUUCCUCAGCCAAUUCGACAUCCCAAUCUCCGUUGCAGUUGGCACCUCUUUCCUUGAAGCCUCCUUGGUCAGAGUCUCAAUCUUGUACAUCUCAAAUUUCAGAUUCCUUGUGGGGUAAUUCUCGGUAAACCAAUUGGUGCCACUGCCACGUUCUUUCUCCGGCAAGCCUACGUCAAUGAACACCCGACGAGGAUAGCUUUCAAGUGUGUCUCCCAAUAGGUCUGGUAGGAACUUGGUUCGUUUCAGGUAAGUUUUUGAUCUCCCUGAAGAUGCUCUUGGUGGUUCAAGAAGCACAAUCUCCAGGUUCUUCAGUGCUGCUUUCUUUGCUUCUGAUGUGUACCCCAAAAGCCUCCUUUGGGUGUUAGAGAUUGUUUUAGCAUGUUUAAUUUUCUUCAUUACCAAAACUUUUGACUGGAAUUUCCUGAAGUAGACGAUUCUGUAAUUGGAUGGCUUGUCGAAUGAAUUGGAUGACCUUCCACUCAGCUGAACAGCAACAAUGCCACCAACUUUAACAGAGCGAUCUAUGAAUUCUGAGGCUGCUCCGAAGUUUUGCGUGAAGGUGAAGUCAAAGGACUCGUUAGGGACUGAACUUUGUCGUUCCAAAUCCGUGACAGAACUGAAUUCCAUAUCACUUUUCCUCAAGAACAGAGAACUAUGAAUGGCCUCGUCAUCAUCAUUGCAUAACAUCAGUCCUUUGUCACCCAGGUUCAGAAUGCCUUCCUUGUUCAAAUCGUGAAAGAGCAAUGGCAAGAGCUCCAGAUUAAUGGGAUCAGUAGAGACAACUUUAGGCUUAAUUUUAUCAGCAUGGCGUGCAUAUUCUUUGUUGAUAAUGGAUCCUAUUCCCGACCAAGGAAGUAAAACAAUGAUCAAGGCCAAAAUCACCAUGAACCGAGCAAGAAGCUUAAAAAUCCUAGAAUCAAGGACCUUGACGAUCAAGUCUGUACAAGCAGGCAAGUUAAUGCCACCAUAACGCACAGGCUUGUGCUUGUUAUGGCAUUUGGCUUGAAGUCCAUCAAUAAUAAUUUGGGCAGUCAUUUUGAGGGAAUUCAUGACAAAAAUGGGCUCAAAAUUUAAUCACUACAAUUCAAAAACGGAUUCAAAAGGGUUUUAAAGGAAGUGUGAAUAGAAAUAGCAGAUAAAAAAAGAGCAAAAACAAGAUUGUAGUAGGCGAGAGGGAGAGGGAAGAAGCAUUUGAGAGAGGCAAAUUUAGCGAGUGCAAAAUCGAGCAGCGGUGUGAUUUCCACCCACGAGACCCACACGGGUACUUUGCAAUCUUGACCAAAGUAAUAGCAACUGCCUAAACCGCUGAACCUCCAUUUCUUGACCUUUUCCCAGUUCCACAAUGGAUUGCAUACACCAACUCAAUGAUUUUAACGGCACAUUUUUAACACUAACUUCACCAUGCCCUUCAUCAACGAAACAUGGUGGCAAAGGGGGGGGAGGGGGGGAGAAAGAGACAGAGAAAGUGAUGUUUUCUUUUCUUCUUCUUCUCUUCUUUUCCUUCCUUCCUUGCUUUGAUUUGUGGAAGGGAAGCUUUUCCUGAUAAUGGGGUUGAUCAAUGGGAGGUAGGAAAGAGGAAUAUAUAGGAGAGAUGUUUGAAAAAAAUAAAGGAGGAUUUCAUAGUCGUUAUGGAAAUUGGCAAAAAUGGAUGGUGUCACGAGAAACAAGUUUAGCCAUUGCUCUCAUCAUAUCCAUCUGUUUUAUUAUUAUUAUUAUUAUUUUCUUCACUUAAUUUGCAUGUACUAGAGAGAUUAAGAGAUGGAAGUAGGAUUCUCCUUUGAAAGCGGCAAGCGUUAAUUUUGUUACUACCCACGUAAGUUUGGGGUGUAAGUGAUUGUGCGGUAAAGACUUUGGUUUUCUUCUUGCAUUGCUAAUAAUAAUAAUGCAACAACGAUACCAGGUCGUUUUCUUUCCAAAAGUUAAAGUUAGAGUUGGAAACUUCUUGAUUUAAAGCUAGAAACAGUUAAGCUGAUGAAAUGAAUAUUAAUG
rnacentral:lncRNA from 1 species